rnacentral:rRNA from 1 species
GACGAACGCUGGCGGCGUGCCUAAUACAUGCAAGUUGAGCGCUGAAGGUUGGUACUUGUACCAACUGGAUGAGCAGCGAACGGGUGAGUAACGCGUGGGGAAUCUGCCUUUGAGCGGGGGACAACAUUUGGAAACGAAUGCUAAUACCGCAUAAAAACUUUAAACACAAGUUUUAAGUUUGAAAGAUGCAAUUGCAUCACUCAAAGAUGAUCCCGCGUUGUAUUAGCUAGUUGGUGAGGUAAAGGCUCACCAAGGCGAUGAGACAUAGCCGACCUGAGAGGGUGAUCGGCCACAUUGGGACUGAGACACGGCCCAAACUCCUUCGGGAGGCAGCAGUAGGGAAUCUUCGGCAAUGGACGAAAGUCUGACCGAGCAACGCCGCGUGAGUGAAGAAGGUUUUCGGAUCGUAAAACUCUGUUGGUAGAGAAGAACGGUGGUGAGAGUGGAAAGCUCAUCAAGUGACGGUAACUACCCAGAAAGGGACGGCUAACUACGUG